GCUUACGGCCAUACCGCCCUGAACACGCCCGAUCUCGUCUGAUCUCGGCAGCCAAGCAGGGCAGGGCCGGGCCUGGUCAGUACUUGGAUGGGUGACCGCCCGGGAAUACCGGGUGCUGUAAGCU